UAUGAUGCAGGCUUUUGCUUUCAUGUACUACUUUGUGAUUGUCCAGCUCUCUCUUAUACCCAUAUGACUAGUGAAAAAAUGUUGAUUUUAUAAUCAAAAUCUCUUUUUCCUUAAGAUUUUUCUCAUCUUCUCCAUCAAUGACACGACGCUAUGUUCUAUCAAUCCCAGAUUAGUUUAUUUUAGGAAGGUAUGUGUACAUUGUGAUUUUUGUAUGUUCUAAUUUCGUAUGAUUAACCAAUUCUAAGUGCUGCUUUGGUGUUACUUCUGUAGAGUUAUGUUUGAAGUGUUGAGGCUGGGUUUUCAUUCCCUAUUGUUUAUGCUGUACUCGGUACUCAAUUUUGCAGAGGCCUUCUGCUCUGGACAUUUCCACAAUUUGCAGCACUAGAAGCAUCGCUAGCCUUGUUGUCCAUGGAGGAAACCAAGGGAGACUUCCAGGGGACUUCAAUUGAUAUAUUACUGCCAAUGGCGAAGCCACUG